UCGGAAACGGACGCUAAUACCGCAUACGUCCUACGGAGAAAGCAGGGGACCUUCGGGCCUUGCGCUAUCAGAUGAGCCUAGGUCGGAUUAGCUGGUUGGUGGGGUAAUGGCUCACCAAGGCGACGAUCCGUAACUGGUCUGAGAGGAUGAUCAGUCACACUGGAACUGAGACACGGUCCAGACUCCUACGGGAGGCAGCAGUGGGGAAUAUUGGACAAUGGGCGCAAGCCUGAUCCAGCCAUGCCGCGUGUGUGAAGAAGGUCUUCGGAUUGUAAAGCACUUUAAGUUGGGAGGAAGGGCCGUUACCUAAUACGUGAUGGUUUUGACGUUACCGACAGAAUAAGCACCGGCUAACUCUGUGCCAGCAGCCGCGGUAAUACAGAGGGUGCAAGCGUUAAUCGGAAUUACUGGGCGUAAAGCGCGCGUAGGUGGUUUGUCAAGUUGAAUGUGAAAGCCCCGGGCUCAACCUGGGAACUGCAUGCAAAACUGGCAGGCUAGAGUAUGGUAGAGGGUGGUGGAAUUUCCUGUGUAGCGGUGAAAUGCGUAGAUAUAGGAAGGAACACCAGUGGCGAAGGCGACCACCUGGACUGAUACUGACACUGAGGUGCGAAAGCGUGGGGAGCAAAC
rnacentral:rRNA from 1 species